UGCGCGCAGCAUGAAGGACAAAUUCUUCAAUGUUCACAGAACAAAUAAAUCUAUAAUUGAAAAUAUAACACUGCAAAGUAUGCAUUAUUAAAUACAGGGUCGGUUAAGGACAGUUCUCUCCCGGGAAUUAUAUAGCCAUUUCAAUCUUGCACAUACUCAAUCAGCUGGUUUGUACGUUAUCAUUCAUAAACAGGAUGGUUUCCGCUGUAACUGAUGUCAAUAAUAAAUGUCGAUAUGGAGCAUUCAUACAUAGCGCCGGGUCAUUAAAUAUGGACGAUGUUACCGAGAAAUAUUUUUAUUAUGCAAAACAUCAAUAUUAAAAAUUUACAUUGACUUACCGAUGGAGCCAGCUGGAAAAAUCACUCUCUUCUUAAUAAACAUCAGAAAAGCACCCGAUUGUCUGAACGGUUCAUGUUAGAAUCUAGAUAUAAUCCUAAGUCCUAUAACCACAUUUCAUAUAGAUGGAAUUCCCCAAUAAUAAUAAUGAAUGGUACACAUUUUGUCGUUAAAAUCACGGCAAUUAAAAAAACAAACUAAUUCACCAUUGAUUCUUUAUAUUUCAUCGCCUUAAUAUUACAUGUAUGCAUAAAUCACCCUCACAGUCAAAGCGAGGCUUGUCGUCUGCCCGAAUCUCUAUCCAGGCGCGUGCAGCAGAUAAUCGAUUUAUCCAAGAAGAAAUUUCACAGCAUUUGACAAUUCAUGUCUAAUUAAUAAUUAACAUGUUGCUCGAGACCUGUAACACACAUAUAAAAAUCUCAAAAUUUAUGGAUACUUUCUAAAGAAAUGAAUUAUUUAUUCAAGAUAUGUUCCAGACAUGUGCAGAGGAUGCUGAUCGAUAGAUGAUGAUAAUGUG
rnacentral:lncRNA from 1 species